UACGUAGGGGGCAAGCGUUAUCCGGAAUUACUGGGCGUAAAGAGUGCGUAGGUGGUUUUACAAGCCUUGGGUGAAAGGCUACAGCUCAACUGUAGUAAGCCUUGGGAACUGUAAGACUUGAGUGCAGGAGAGGAGAGCGGAAUUCCUAGUGUAGCGGUGAAAUGCGUAGAUAUUAGGAGGAACACCAGUGGCGAAGGCGGCUCUCUGGACUGUAACUGACGCUGAGGCAC
rnacentral:rRNA from 1 species